rnacentral:tRNA from 1 species
GGUGAGGUCGGAUAGCGGUUUAUUCCACGCGCUUGGAAAGCGCGCGCUCGAAAGGGCUCGUGGGUUCGAAUCCCAUCCUCACCGCCA